ensembl:lncRNA
GUGAUGCCAAUACUUCUGGGGAGCACUAUCAGAGAACCACUGCCUGACAAAAGGGGUUUACUUUAGACCUGCAAAGAACCUCCUCAUGGUGGGACAGUGAGUCACAGUAUGUGGCAGCCUUGAGAGGAUGGGAUAGUGCACUUAACCACUGUGGUCUUCCUUGCAGAAAUAUACUCACCUGACAGAGGAGCCUGGUGGGCUGCCGUCUAUGGGGUGGCACAGAGUCGGACACGACUGAAGCAACUUAGCAGCAGCAGCAGCAGCAGUGUAUCACCCAGGUGGCGCUAGUGGUAGAGAAACUGCCUGCCAGUGCAGGAGAGGUCCCCUCAGCCUUUUGGAUGCUUAUUGUUUACAGUUCCUGCCAUGGUAUCUGACGAGGUUCCAGACAAUAAGUAUCAACCAUACCUGGCAGGAAUCUUGGGUUUCCUCUGAAAGCUCCUCUGGCAGGCUUGCCUGGCUGUGCGUCCAUGUCUACCGCCAAAACAAACAUGUUGCAGGGGUGUUGUUCAUGCAUUGCCCUCGAAAACUCUUGCUGUCACGGGAUCACCCUCUUCCUGCUGAUGGAUGGUCAUUAUCUGACUCUGUUGCCAUGGAGAGGGAUGGACUCAGGUGUGUUUUUCAAGCCUGCAUAUUCCCACUGGGGCUGCAACAAGGAUGCUUCUGUACGUCAUGUUUGGCAAGCCUGUGGCAGGCUGUGGCCAGGCUUUUCCUGCAGGUCAAACCUAAUCAACUGAUCAGCUGCAGAUCAUAUCAAGACCUCUGCUUGAUACGUUAUUAGUGACAGACAUGCUUCCAUAAUGAAUAUCAUGAUGUCAUUUGACCAUAACGUUGUUGAGGUGGGGAAAGAAAACACUCCAGUCAUCAGACUUGGGAUGAGAAGGGCUUGUGUUCACAGAAACACAACUUCACGUCACUGUUUCUCACGAAGGACUGUUUUGUUC